rnacentral:rRNA from 1 species
UACGUAGGGUGCAAGCGUUAAUCGGAAUUACUGGGCGUAAAGCGUGCGCAGGCGGUUGUGCAAGACCGAUGUGAAAUCCCCCGGGCUCAACCUGGGAAUGGCAUUGGUGACUGUACGGCUAGAGUGUGUCAGAGGGGGGUAGAAUUCCACGUGUAGCAGUGAAAUGCGUAGAUAUGUGGAGGAAUACCGAUGGCGAAGGCAGCUCGCUGGGGACGGUACUGACGCUGAGACGCGAAAAGCGUGGGGGAGCAAACAGG